GCUGUCUAGCUGACUCAGAGAAUGUCAGUUCCAUACAAAGGUCCACUUUCAUUAUUUGUAAUGAUGAGUCUAACUCUUAAUUUACAAAGUUUAUCCAAUAUAAAAUUUAAAAAGGGGUGUAGUCUGUUUACUUCAAGAGGAAAAAAAUGUCAUUUUUGCAGGAGGAAGAAAGGACCAGAUAGAACUGAAUGACUGUGACAUAUGAGUAGAAAGUAGUUGAGUCUCAGGAGCCAAAAAUGCCCCAAUACUCCUCUCUCAGUAGAAAUGAAAGAUCUUAUAUGAGAGACUUAAUUGUAAAUUCAAACCAGAUAAGGAUUAUUUAUCAUUUUACAUUUUCCUCUUUACAUUGAUGUAAUUUUUUUCUCUACAAAUAUAAUACUCAUUGUGUUUAUUCCUCAUUGUGACAUGGAGGUAACCUUCAAUUCUUGAAAGCUGGGCCAGUGGAGAUCAGUCUCAGAAGCUUUGAAUAUGCCUACCAUUUCAAGAUCAAUGUCAAUACAUAUGGACAGAGAUUGACAUCAAGAUGGUCCCAACUGGGAUGCCUGGCUUUGCUCUGGGCCAACACAGAUCAGCCCACUUCAGCACAGACUGGAUUCCAUUGGUUUGGAUUGUAUUCCAUAAUUCCAGACUUCACCACAGGUUUGAAAUCUCAAGGAGUGCAGGUUAGUUGAACCUCUAUUUGCCAGGCAGUGUCUCAGGAUCCAAAUGUUGGCUUAGGCUUAGGUUCAGAACCUGGUACAACAGAUGUGGGAUAUGUGUGGGGUAGGGAGAAAGGUGGAACUCACUCUUGGCUUGCUCUUCACUCCUUACUACAUACUCUUGCUGACUGUGCUCCCCUCUCAUCCCAAUGCCUCAGAUGUUCUCUCCAUACCUUUUAGGUCUUUCUUUUCUAGAAAGUUGUUUCUCUCUGUCUACUUGUUGGUUCUUUUACUUCUGUAUUCAUUUUGUGGUGCUAUUUUAAUAUUGGUUGGGGGGAAUUCUCAUGGUGCCUUGAGCUUCUCUUCUUUACUCUGCCAUCUUGACUCUGCCCUUAGAAGUCAACUGUCAAAGUUUUUUUUUUUCUUUAGUGACUCUUAAUCCUGCAUAAAUCCCUUUCCCUUUUGCAGUGUGAAAGGUAGGAGAAAGAUUUGGAUUUGUGACAAUCUUAGACUGCCUAUGAACUUGAACAUCUACAAAGUUAGUACUUUUUUAUUAAAACCUUACCUUUCAUCCUAGAAUCAAUAUUGCAUAUUAGUUUCAAGGUAGAAGAGCAUUAAUGGCUAAGCAAUGGGGGCUAGGUGACUUGCCCAUGGUCACUGAGCUAGGAAGUGUCUGAGGUCACAUUUGAACUCAGGACUGUAUCUAGGUCUGUCUCUCAAUUUACUAAGCCAUCUAGUUGCCCCUCCAUGUUAGUAUUUUUAAUGAGUGAUCUUCAAUCAAUGACUAACAAGUUACUAUUAGAGGAACAAAAUCCCCAUCAUAUUGACAUUCUUGAAAUUAAUAAAAGUAGGAUACAACAAAGAAGGAGCAGCUAAAUAGAAGGAUGAUUCACAAGAUUUCCUAAGAGAAACAAAUGAAGGAGUUAGUGAAGUGGGAUUAAUGUUGCUCCUCAAAGGAAAAUGAAACAUUUCAUGAGAUACUCGUUGCCAUACUUAGGAUAAGAGUGAGUAAGCAGAUCACUUUGAAGUGAAUUUUAAUUUAUGUACCAAUAUCCAUUGCUGAGGAUGAAGAAGGAGGGAAAUUCUUUGAAGGUCUUUCAAAGGUCUUCUACAGGAAAAUAACAGAAGAUAUGGACAAGAAUAAUACAGCAUAAAAGUAAAUAGAUUGUGAUCUACAUUGGUAUAGGGAGUCCACCAGGAAGAGACCUGGGAUCUACAAAAGGAAGUAUGUGAUAGAUUCAACUUGAACUGGUUCACAAGAGCUGUUUGUGAAAUUUUAAAGUGACCAUUUAACACCUUGGAAAUUAGCAAACACUACAAAUCAGCACUCAGUUUAUUAUUUUGUUAAAUUAUAUACUAAAGAAAGUGCUAGAGAACAUGUUAAAACAGAUUAAAUUUUAAAAUAUGCCAUGCCUAAUUUUUUUUUUGGAGAGCUACUUGUUAAAUAUUACCAGUGUAUCAAAUCAUCAUAUUUAUCCAAAAAUAUGUGGUCUUAUCCUACAUGCAACUUUAGGAGGCACAUCUUUUUUUCUCUGUUAAAGCAAAUCACUCACUGAUAAACUAAACCAAUAUAUAUGGUGAAAUUUAAAGGAAUAGCCAUGAAUCAGCUGAACACUAGAAAGAUAAAUGGAAAAGAAUUGAAUAACAGUGAUGAAGACCACUUUAAUUACAGUCACCAGUGAGAAAAGAAGUACACAUCAGUUUCAGAUCUAUUAGAACUGUAUCUACUGUGAAAUUUGAAUUCUUUGCUUUUGUCUUCUAUCUCAGGAGCACAAUAUAUGUGGAUACCGACAUUUUUAUUUCCUGUACUGAAUAUAAAUAAAGUAUAUUGACUUAUCUUGUAGAGAGCCAUCCAAUGGUUCUUUCUCCCCAUAAAUCAUUAAGGACCUCAAUAGGAAAAUCUUCAUAUCUAGUUAAUUCUUGAAUGGUUAAUUUAUUUUUCUGGAAUAGGAUUGGUUAUGACUAUAAGAAGUCACGGAAGCCAGUUUAAGAGGGAAAAAUGCCUUAAUAAAUCUAUUAAUUGUUUUAUCAAUCAGUCAGUAUUUAUUAAGCACAUAUUAUUACCAGGAGUUGCAAAUAAAAGUAUAAAUAAUGAAAUUAUAUCCAUUUGCAAAGGAUGUAGAUUCUAAUAGGUCAGAUAAUUACAUAUAAAAUAUAUAGAGUAUAUAUUUGGAAUUAAUAAAUACAUAUAUUGAAAGUAAUUAAACAUGAGAUAAUAUGGGAAGUAGAAAACUAGUGGAAAUAUUUCAUGAAGAUGAUGCUGAAGGUGUAUCUUAAGGAAAAGAGGGACUAUAUGAGAUAGAGAUAUGGCUGGAGUACAUCCUAGUCAUUGGAAAUGAACAGUACAAAGGUAUAUAUGUAAACAUUGAAGGAGUAGGGAUGGGAGGUAAGCAAGUAUCACAUGAAUGUUGCUUUCAUCAAGCUAGAUGAAGACAACACACAUAUACACAUAUGCAAAGAGCUGGAUGUAGGAAUACAUUCAACUCAAUAAGGAUAAAUAUUGUAUGAAGAAAAAAAGGAGAGCAGAAAAGGAAUGGUAUAUUCAGGCAGAUAUUAGUCAUAAGCAAUACAACCCCAAAUCUGGAGAGAUCAUAGUGAAGUGAAAGUUAAAAAGGAAAAAGAAAGAAAAAAGUAUAAGAGUAGGAUUUAGGAAAAUAAAUAACUUUGAAUGUGAAUGGGAUGAACUCAUACAUAAAAAGGCACAAUUCAACAGAAUGAAUUCUGAAACAAAUGCAACAAUACAUUGUUUACAAGGAAACAAAUCAUACAUUUGAAACAUAAAGACUCACAGAGAGUUAAAAUAAAGUAAUGGAUCUAUCAUAAAUCAAUAUAAAUUAGAUAUCAUCUAUAUAUAAUAAAUCUAUUAUACCUCAGCUAAAAACUCAAAGCUGGAGUUUAGCAAUUAUGAUUUCACCCAAGAGCAAAAGUAGAUUUAAUCAAAGGAAAUAAAGAAGGGAAAUGCAUUUUAUUGAAAUAUAACAAAAAAUGAUUUGAUUUCAAUACUUAAUAUAUGUAUCCAAUGACAGCUUCUAAAUACUUAAAACAGAAAAAUUAACUACAAGGAGAAAUAUACAAUAAAACUAUAAUAGCAUCAGAGCUCAAUUUAUACUGCCUGACAUAGAUAAAUGUAAAGAAAAAAUAAACACAAAAAUUUAAGAACUUGAAUAGAAUUUUAGAAAAAUUAAAUAUGCUAGACUUCUUAUAGUCAUUGGAUGGAAAUAGAAAGGAGAAUACAUUUCCCAACUAUGAGUGGUACCUUUACAAAAAUUAAUCAUCUGAUGUAAAAAUUGAAAGUCAGAAAUAAUAUACAUAUAAUAUUUACUGGCUAUAAUACAAUAUAAGUUCUAGCAAAUAAAAUAUCAUCUAAGAGCACUAAAAAUAACUCAGAGACAAAAUAAUUUAAUCCUGAUAAAUUGAAUGGGGUCAAAUAACAAUCAUAGAAAUAAUCAUUUCAUUAAAUUUAAUGCCAUCAAUGAUACAGGGUGUACUACAAAUUUGGAAAUGCAGGCAAAGCAAUUUUCAGGGGAAAUUUCUUAUCUUUAACCAUGUUUGUUAAUAGCAAUAACAACAAAAGAUCAAUUAAUUGAAAAUGCAACUAAAAACACUAGAAAUCAACAAAUUAAAAAUCCCAAUGAAACAUCAAAACAGAAAUCCUGAAAAUCAAAUAUGAAACUACUGAAUUUAUUUUUAAAAAUCAUAAUGGUUUUUAAAAAUUAAAUAAAACAUCAGUUAAUCUGAAAAAGAAAGAAGAAAAACACAUUAUCAGUGUUAAAAAUGGAAAAAGAGUAUCCAUGAUGUAUAAAAGAAAAAUAAAGGAAAUCAUUGAAAACUAUUUUGUUCAACUAUAUGCCAACAAAAAUGAAAAUUUAAAUAAAACAAGUGAAUGCUUACUAAAAAUAUAAAGAAUCCAAAUUGACAGGACAAGAAAUGGAGAAUUUCAGAAAGAUAAAUUGAUCAAGCCAUAAAUGAACUUCUAAAGGGGGAAAGAAAAACUUUAGAAACAGAGGGAUACAAAAGUGAAUUUUUUAAACCCUUACUUUCUGCCUUAGAUUCAAUACUGUGCAUUGGUCCCAAGGUAGAAGAGUGGUAAGGGCUAAGCAUUGGGGGUGAAGUGACUUGCCCAGUGUUAUAUAGCUUGUAUUAGGCCACAUUUGAACCCAGAAUACCUAAUCCUCAGACGUGGAUCUCAAGCUACUGAGUCACCUAAUUGCUCCCCAAAAGUGAAUUCCAUCAAACUUUGAAAGAAUGGUUAAUUCCAACAUUACAUAAUUUGUUUGCAUAAGUGACAAAAGAAAAAAAAUCAACCAAAAAGCCCUUCAUUUAUAAAGAUAUAGUUUUAGAACAUAUAUCAGGAAGAGUCACAACCCAAAAAAAGUAUAGACCAAUAUUAGUAGUGAAUGGUAAUGUAAAAUUUUAAGUAAAAUAUUGGCAAUUUUUUUAAAUUUUUCAAUUUAUUUUAAAACACCACACCGUAUCACAAAUAUUAUGCACUAUGACCAGAUUUUAUUUAUACCAGGGAUCCAAGGUUAAUGUAAAACUAGGAAAAUCAUAAACUUAAUUAAGCAUGUUAAUAAUAAAAACCAACUUAUUGUAUCAGUAGUACCUGAAAAAGCUUUUGACAAAACGCAACCCACAUUUCUGCUAAGACACAAAUACACACGUGCGUGUGCACACACACACACACACACAUACACACACAAAGAAUAUGGGAAUAAAUGGGCCUCUUCUGAAUUAAAUAGUAAAUAUUCAAAACAGAGGGAUACUAUUAUUUAUAAUGUAGUUAAAAUAGAAUUCUUUUCAAUAAAAUCAAAAGGAAAAUAGAGAUAUUCACUGUCACCAUUUCUACUUUUAUAUAGUAUUAGAGAUGCAGGUUCUAAAAAUUAAUCCAAAAAAAGAAACAUAGAGAAUAAUCAGAGAUAACAAAGCAACAGUCUUUUUUUUAAAGAUAUGAUGUUGUACUUGAAGAACCUUAAAGUGCCAAGUACAUGUUAAUUGAAACAAUAACUUUAGCAAAUUUGAAGGAUACAAAAUAAAUACCUAUAAAUUGUAGGUUUUCUGUAUAAUACUAAUAAAACAGUAGGAAGAGAUAGAAAGAGAAUUCCCAUCUAAAUUAGCUCCAAAAUGUAUGAAAUAUAUGGACAUCUACCUACUAUGACAUAGAAAAGAAUUAUAUGAAUACAGCUUUAAACUACUUUUUAUAGAAAUAAAUACAACAAAUAACUGCUAAUGGGCAGAAGCAAUCAAGACAAAAAAGAUGACAAUAAAACAAAUAAAUCUUAUUCAGUGCUAUUCUAAUCAAAUUAACAUGGGAUUGCUUUAUAGAUAAAUAAUAAUUAAAAUCACAGAGAGAGGGAAACACCAAGAAUGUUAAAAGAAAUACUUUUUUUAAAGGUGUAUGAAGAUGAGGUCAUGAGAGGGACCUACCAAUACUAGAUCACAAGCCACCUUACAAAGCUAUAAUUCUCAAAGAAAUUUAGUACUAGUUAAAAAACAGAGAUCAAUUAGUGGAAUACACACAUACACACAUAAAAGAAAUUCCAUAUUUUUUUUAACUGCCAGAAAAAUUGAACAGCAGGAUGGGAAUGUAAGAGCCAGAAUGUAAGGGGUUAAAAUUAAAGGGUUGGACUAAAUUAUUUAAGAGUAUGAUCACCAGGAAUUAUUACUCAAUUCCAAAUGUUUUUUUUUAUGGUAAUUUAUUUACAAAAGGAGAAAGAGUGAAAAUGAGAAAAUCAGAGAGAGUAGAUGUUUACUCCUGCAGGGUCUGAACCAGGCAGGACUUAAGAGGCCCCAGCAAAGGGGGUCCAGAGGUAAAUUAGGCAAGGAUUUUAGCCAUGAGGCCUCCUCCAAGAUGAGGGGCCUCACCUAAGUUCUCAUAGAAAGAAAUCUAGAAAUAUUUGUAAUGUAAAACCAAAACAGAUCAACAAAGGUUAAAAGAGAAAGAAGAGAAGAAAAGAGAAAAGAAGAAAGAGAAGGGAAGGGAAGGAGCUAGGUCAGAACAUUGGGAAACACAAGCAGGGGGCAUAGUAUUAAUGAUAAGAAGAGUAAAUGUUUAGAACUUCUCUGAAAUCACAGGGUACAAUUCUAAUUUUAAUUUGCAUUAUUAACAAUUUUUCCAUUACUUCCUUAUGUUUAAACCAUAAAUAAGUAAGAAAUUAAGUCCUGAUUUCUACUAUUAGUCAAUUUCCAAAAUGCAAAUGCUUACACUGAAAAUUUAAUUAUAGCUUCUCUAAAGCCUAUAUUGGAGCUAUCUCCACCAAAAAUCUGAGCCAACAAAAGAAACUCGGAAGGAUCGAAUGCAUAGGUAGGAGAUGAACAAGGGGAGAGUAAUGGCUCAAAAACCUUACAAAGAAAAACCAUGGAGGAAGAAAGGCUGGUCAUCAAUGGUAAAUGCAACAGAUAGGUCAAGAAGGACUAGGACAGAGAUAAGACUGUAACCCAACCUCUGACUAAUUUUGUUUUUCUCUAUAUUAAAAGGAUUAAUGGGUUGAUUUGAUAUCAUGACAACCCAACUUGGACAGCAGCUUCCACCAUCUUCCAGGCUGAAUAAUUCACAGAAUUUCAGAGUUCAGUUUUAUAGACAGUUUUAUAAAUUUUAUAGAUAAUUUCUCAGAUAAAUGUCUCAUUACUAAAAUACAUAGAGAACUCUGUCAAAUGUAUAAAAAUAUAAGCCAUUCCCAAAUUGAUAAGUGGUCAAAAGAAUUAAGAAAUAGUUUUUAGAUGAAGAAAUCAAAGCUAUAUAUGACCAUCUGAAGUAAUGCUCUAAAUCAUUAUUGAUUAGAGAAAUGCAAAUCAAAACAACUUUGAGCUACCUCUUACCUAUCCAAUGGACUAAAAUAACAAAAGGGUAAAAUGACAAGUGUUGGAAGGGAUGUGAAAAAUGGGGACAUUAAUACACUGUUAGUAGAACUGUGAACAGAUCCAACCAUUUUGGAGAGAAAUCUGAAAUUACACCCAAAGAGUAUAAAACUGUGUAUGGCCUUUGACCCUUAGCCUAGGGACUAAUAAUAAGAACACAGAAAUAUACAGAAUGUGCCCAAUUAUAAGCCAAAUCUCAAAAAAAUAUAGAUAUAAAAAGAACCAAGAUGAAGAGACUACCUGUUCUUCGUUGUUUGGAUAACAUUCAAUGGUUGUUUUGUAGCUUCCGGGAAAAGAGUUCAAUUCUCAUCCAAACAAGACACCAACUGAGAAAAUUACACAAAACACUCACUUGUUUACUAAGGCUUGGAGAGUUCUGAAUGGUCAAGGAGGUCUCAAAUUAAAAAAAUCAAAACUCUCCUUCCUAAUAGAAAUGCUACUCUAAAUUUCUCCAAAUUUAGAACUUGGGAAGAGUAUAAAUUUAGACCCCUCUGUUGGGCACUUCUGAGUGGUUUCUCUGUGAAAUUGCCUCAUAUGCAAGGAAUCAAGCUCUCUUCAUUUUUUAAAAGCACUCCAAAAUAUAGAAAGAUUGGAGAGGGCAGUGCUACAGAUGUAUAAAGUGUGCACUUUCAGAUGAGGUCCCAAUUGUUAGUUUUGCUUACUUGUUUUUCUUUAUUACAACAGAACUUGUAUGGAGUGGGGCAAUUUGGAAAUACUUGAGCCAUAAAUACAAAAAUUGUCAAUAAAAUUUGAAAGAGAAAGAGAGUGAAGGUAACAGAAAAAAGGAGAGAGAAGAGAGAGCUAGAGGCAAAGGCAGAGAGAGGAGAAAAUGUCAAGAGAGAAAAGAAAAGUGUUAGAGGGAGAGGAAACAGAGAAGAAAAAGUGAGAAACAGAAGAGAGAGAAAAGAAAAAUAUAGGAGAGAGAUUGAGAGAAGGAAAAAACAGAAAAAAGAGACAGAAGAAAGACAAAGAGAGAAACUGAAACAGAAAGAGAAAGGGACUGAAAAAAAGAGAGAAGUGAGAGAGAUAUAGAGAUGGAGAGGAAAGCAAAGACAGAAAAACAAAAGAGAAAAAUAGAAAGAGAAGAGAAACAGAGGGGAAAGGACAGAAGAGAGAAACAGAGAGGAAAGAGGCAACUGGAGAAAAAUCGAGUCAGAGAGAAAGAAGAGACAACUGGAGAGGAAAGGAGAGAAGAGAGAAGGGGAAAGAAGAAAGAAAUAGAAAAAAGAGGGGAGAGAAACAAAAACAAAGAGAGGAGGAGGAGGAAGAAGAAAUGGACGGAAUACAGGUCAGAACCACGAGAAACACUCACAGUUAGGGACAUGAUAUGGAUGAUGAAUCAACAAACCAAACAAAAAAGGAUUGUACCAGGAGAGA